rnacentral:misc_RNA from 1 species
GGUGAAGUCUGAGCUUCUGGUGCAGGUAGAUGGGGUGAACAACAGUUCUACUGGCGAUGAUGGUGGACCGAAAAUCGUAAUGGUCUUGGCAGCUACCAACUUUCCAUGGGACAUAGAUGAGGCACUAAGGAGGCGGCUGGAAAAACGAAUAUAUAUUCCACUUCCCAGUUUCGAAAGUCGGAAGGAGCUUAUCAAGAUUAAUCUAAGAACCGUUGAGGUAGCAACCGAUGUUGACAUUGAGGAAGUAGCCCGUCGGACUGAUGGGUACAGUGGAGACGACCUCACAAAUGUCUGCCGCGAUGCUUCCUUGAAUGGAAUGAGGCGGAAAAUCGCUGGAAAGAGCAGGGAAGAGAUAAAGAACAUGUCGAAGGAUGAGAUUAAUAACGACCCUGUGGCCAUGUGUGACUUUGAAGAAGCUCUUGGCAAGGUGCAGAGAAGUGUUUCACAAGCUGAUAUAGAGCGCCAUGAGAAAUGGUUCCAUGAGUUUGG